rnacentral:misc_RNA from 1 species
GUGACCACAAUCACCACCACCAGCAAUAGCUCGCAGGCGCAGUCGUCCUCCGGUGGCCAGAGCAAUGGCACCACCUACAAGAUCGAGAUGCUGGACGACGACAUGCAGAGUCUGGCCACAGAUGACGAGGACGAUGAUUUGAUUAGCAGCGAGGGCAGUCUGUACGAUGGCGAUCUCAAUACGCUGGCCAACGAUGAUGUCGCCCACCAGCUGGCGGCUGCUGGGCCGGUGGGUGUGGCAGCGGCCGCUGCGAUAGCCAGCUCAAAGAAACGCAAGCGUCCGCACUGCUUCGAAACGAAUCCGUCGGUGCGCAAGCGGCAACAGAAUCGUCUGCUACGCAAAUUGCGCGGCAUCAUCUACGAAUUCACCGGGCGCGUGGGCAAGCAGGCGGUGGUGCUGGUGGCGACGCCCGGCAAGCCGAACACCAGCUACAAGGUGUUCGGGGCGAAGCCGCUGGAGGAUGUGCUGCGCAAUCUGAAGAACAUUGUGAUGGAUGAGCUGGACAAUGCGCUGGCCCAACAGGCGCCGCCGCCGCCGCAAGAGGAUCCCUCGCUGUUCGAGCUGCCCGGCCUGGUCAUCGAUGGCAUACCGACGCCCGUCGAGAAGAUGACGCAGGCACAGCUGCGUGCGUUCAUACCGCUCAUGCUCAAGUAUUCGACGGGGCGCGGCAAGCCGGGCUGGGGGCGAGAGUCGACACGGCCGCCAUGGUGGCCCAAGGAGUUGCCGUGGGCGAAUGUGCGCAUGGAUGCCCGCUCCGAGGAUGACAAGCAGAAGAUUAGCUGGACCCAUGCGCUGCGCAAGAUUGUGAUCAAUUGCUACAAAUAUCAUGGACGCGAGGAUCUGCUGCCGACAUUCGCCGACGACGAGGACAAGGUGAAUGCGCUGAUCUCGCAGUCUGGCGACGAGGACGAGGACAUGGAGCAGCUGUCCAAUACGCCCACCAUACAGACGGUGCAAACGGUGACGCCGGCCACUAAUCAAACCACCAGCCAACUGAAUUUUAUUUUGGUUUAUCAUUUCAUGCGCUCAAAACAACAGAAAUCAACACACACACACACAUUACACGACACAAACUGUCCUGUCGCAGAACGCCGAUGGCACCGUCUCUCUCAUACAGGUGGAUCCUAACAAUCCAAUCAUAACGCUGCCCGACGGCACAACAGCUCAGGUUCAGGGCGUGGCAACGCUGCAUCAAGGCGAAGGCGGCGCCACCAUACAAACGGUACAAAGUCUCGCCGAUGUGAAUGGUCAUGACAAUAUGACCGUCGAUCUGACCGAG